rnacentral:rRNA from 1 species
CUCCUACGGGAGGCAGCAGUGGGGAAUAUUGCACAAUGGGCGCAAGCCUGAUGCAGCCAUGCCGCGUGUGUGAAGAAGGCCUUCGGGUUGUAAAGCACUUUCAGCGAGGAGGAAGGCGUUGUAGUUAAUAGCUGCAGCGAUUGACGUUACUCGCAGAAGAAGCACCGGCUAACUCCGUGCCAGCAGCCGCGGUAAUUC